UGAGGAAUAUUGCACAAUGAGCGAAAGCUAGAUGCAGCAACGCCGCGUGGAUGAUGAAGGCCUUCGGGUCGUAAAAUCCUUUUCAGAGGGACGAGUGAGGACGGUACCUCUGGAAUAAGUCACGGCUAACUACGUGCCAGCAGCCGCGGUAAAACGUAGGUGGCAAGCGUUAUCCGGAUUCACUGGGCGUAAAGCGCCUGCAGGCGGUCUCGUAAGUGGGGUGUGAAAUCUCCUGGCUUAACUGGGAGGGGUCAUUCCAUACUGCGGGACUGGAGGGCAGAAGAGGGGAGUGGAAUUCCCGGUGUAGUGGUGAAAUGCGUAGAUAUCGGGAGGAACACCAGUGGCGAAGGCGACUCCCUGGUCUGCUCCUGACGCUAAGAGGCGAAAGCUAGGGGAGCGAACGGGAUUAGAAACCCCGGUAGUCCUAGCCAUAAACGUUGGAUACUAGGUGUUGGUGGUCCUAACCCCAUCAGUGCCGAAGCAAACGCGUUAAGUAUCCCGCCUGGGGACUACGGCCGCAAGGUUA
rnacentral:rRNA from 1 species